rnacentral:lncRNA from 1 species
GGCUGCCUGAGAGUAGCGAGUGACAGGUAAGGGCUCUGAACCUUCCUGCGUGCUACCCAAGGAGUGCCUAGGGCUACCAGGAGGCCCAGGGAGGAACCUUGAGACCUGAGAAAGGCUUUUCUUCCCCGAGAGGACCACUGCUCAGGCUCAGAGGCCAUGGGGUGAAGUGCACAAAAAAGUGGGCGUCCAGCCAUGCUCUAAGUCCCCCGAAGAUGAAGACCAGGGAGCAGCUUCCUCCAAUGAAGCAGCAGCAAUCAGAGGACCAGGAGGCUGAAGCCCUGAGCCCAGCCAGAGGCAGGAUCAGCCAAGUCUGGGACAGGCUUCAAUUAUUUUAGGCAGAGCUUCUGGUUCCUGGGCCUUCAGACUUGGACUAGAACUUCACUACCAGCUUUCCUGGGUCUCCAGCUUGCAGAGAGCAGAUCGCAGAACUUCUUAGCCUCCAUAAUCACAAGAACGUGUUUGCUUCCCCUUCCACCAUGAUUGUAAGUUUCCUGAGGCCUCCCCAGUCCUGCAGAACUGCUUUGAAGAAGACCACUGCGUCGGUAUUUGUGAAAUGUUUUGAGCCUCUGGAUUUAAAUAAGAUGGAAAACCAAAGCUCAGGGAGUUUUACAUGGGCAGGCAGCUGGUGAGGGCUGAGACUGGAGCCAGGCCAGUGGUCUUCAAAGGCUUUAGUCAAACUUUUUGACAGAUAUAAGAAAACCGAACUAAGGAAAAUACUUUCCUGGGAUCAUCCCUAUAUGAAGUGGCAGACCUGGAAUUGCUCCCUGUUUCAAAACAUCUCCCGCCCCCACCCAGGCCUGCUCAGAAGAACCCAAGCCACUCAGAAGCAGGAGGCAGCCUUCACCCCAACCAGACCAAUAUCCGUUCCAGACUCAGGAUUACAACAAUCUGGGAGAGGGUCAACCAAGUCAGAGUCCCACAUGGCAGAAGAGCUGCUUUAGCUUAAGACUCUUAACUCUUUUUCUUCGGGGCAGGAAAGGUUUGAGCCAAUGAAGGAUGAGGCUUUCCAGGCCCAGGACACAACCUUGAUCCAAGGCCUAGUUGUGGCUUUAAUUUUUGUAAAUCAAGCCUCAAGUUUUUCUUCACUCUUUUAGCCAAAGAUAUGUUUCCCAGGAUGCAUGAAAUAAAUAAAUAAAAUGUACCAAAUUAGAGAUUG